rnacentral:rRNA from 1 species
UACGAAGGGUGCAAGCGUUACUCGGAAUUACUGGGCGUAAAGCGUGCGUAGGUGGUGAGUUAAGUCUGUCGUGAAAGCCCCGGGCUCAACCUGGGAAUUGCAUUCGAGACUGAAUAGCUAGGGUACGGUAGAGGGAAGCGGAAUUUCCGGUGUAGCGGUGAAAUGCGUAGAUAUCGGAAGGAACAUCAGUGGCGAAAGCGGCUUCCUGGACCAGUACCGACGUUCAGGCACGAAAGCGUGGGGAGCAAACAGG